UGGGGAAUAUUGCACAAUGGGCGCAAGCCUGAUGCAGCCAUGCCGCGUGUAUGAAGAAGGCCUUCGGGUUGUAAAGUACUUUCAGCGGGGAGGAAGGCGAUGUGGUUAAUAACCGCGUCGAUUGACGUUACCCGCAGAAGAAGCACCGGCUAACUCCGUGCCAGCAGCCGCGGUAAUACGGAGGGUGCAAGCGUUAAUCGGAAUUACUGGGCGUAAAGCGCACGCAGGCGGUCUGUCAAGUCGGAUGUGAAAUCCCCGGGGUCAACCUGGGAACUGCAUCCGAAACUGGCAGGCUUGAGUCUCGUAGAGGGGGGUAGAAUUCCAGGUGUAGCGGUGAAAUGCGUAGAGAUCUGGAGGAAUACCGGUGGCGAAGGCGGCCCCCUGGACGAAGACUGACGCUCAGGUGCGAAAGCGUGGGGAGCAAACA
rnacentral:rRNA from 1 species